rnacentral:rRNA from 1 species
AUUGAACGCUGUCGGCAGGCUUAACACAUGCAAGUCGAACGGUAACAUAAGAAGCUUGCUUCUUUGAUGACGAGUGGCGGACGGGUGAGUAAUGCUUGGGAAUCUAGCUUAUGGAGGGGGAUAACUACGGGAAACUGUAGCUAAUACCGCGUAAUGUCGAAAGAUUAAAGUGUGGGACCUUCGGGCCACAUGCCAUAGGAUGAGCCCAAGUGGGAUUAGGUAGUUGGUGAGGUAAAGGCUCACCAAGCCGACGAUCUCUAGCUGGUCUGAGAGGAUGACCAGCCACACUGGGACUGAGACACGGGCCAGACUCCUACGGGAGGCAGCAGUGGGGAAUAUUGCGCAAUGGGGGCAACCCUGACGCAGCCAUGCCGCGUGAAUGAAGAAGGCCUUCGGGUUGUAAAGUUCUUUCGGUAGCGAGGAAGGCAUUUAGUUUAAUAGACUAGGUGAUUGACGUUAACUACAGAAGAAGCACCGGCUAACUCCGUGCCAGCCGCCGCCGUAA